GUUUAUCAGAAGCAAGAACUUGAGGAAAAACAUUGCAACUCCAGGGCACUAUUAGCUGCCAAAGUGGAAAGUAGAGAGCAAGUCACCGAGUAAUUUAUCAUCAGCUCUGAGGGAAGAGGAGAGGAACAAGUAUUCUCAUUAUGACUUGUCCACAAGAAGUGAUCAAUUAUAUGGGCUAAUUUGUUUUGCAAAUAAGUAUAUUCCAAAGUACUUGAAUAUUACUGAGAAUCAUAGAAUAAAGCCUAUGGAACAGAAAAGGGU
rnacentral:lncRNA from 1 species